rnacentral:rRNA from 1 species
UCGAGAAUCUUCGGCAAUGGGCGCAAGCCUGACCGAGCGACGCCGCGUGGAGGACGAAGGCCUUCGGGUUGUAAACUCCUGUCGAGGGGGAGGAAGGGGCGAGAGCCCUUGACCGACCCCUGGAGGAAGCACGGGCUAAGUUCGUGCCAGCAGCCGCGGUAAGACGAACCGUGCGAACGUUAUUCGGAAUCACUGGGCUUAAAGCGCGCGUAGGCGGGCCGCCACGUCGGUCGCUGAAAUCCCCCGGCUCAACCGGGGAACGGGCGCCGAAACGAGCGGCCUGGAGGGGCGUAGGGGGACCUGGAACUCCCGGUGGAGCGGUGAAAUGCGUUGAGAUCGGGAGGAACGCCCGUGGCGAAAGCGAGGUCCUGGACGCCGCCUGACGCUGAGGCGCGAAAGCCAGGGGAGCGAACGGGAUUAGAUACCCGCGUAGUCC